rnacentral:rRNA from 1 species
AUUGAACGCUGGCGGCAUGCCUAACACAUGCAAGUCGAACGGUAGCAGGCCCUUCGGGGUGCUGACGAGUGGCGGACGGGUGAGGAAUGCAUCGGGAUCUGCCCUGUUGUGGGGGAUAACUUAGGGAAACUUAAGCUAAUACCGCAUACGACCUACGGGUGAAAGCGGGGGACCUUCGGGCCUCGCGCAGCAGGAUGAACCGAUGUCGGAUUAGCUAGUUGGUAGGGUAAAGGCCUACCAAGGCGACGAUCCGUAGCUGGUCUGAGAGGAUGAUCAGCCACACUGGGACUGAGACACGGCCCAGACUCCUACGGGAGGCAGCAGUGGGGAAUAUUGGACAAUGGGCGCAAGCCUGAUCCAGCAAUGCCGCGUGUGUGAAGAAGGCCUCGGGUUGUAAAGCACUUUUAUCAGGAAAGAAAUCCGCUGGGUUAAUACCUUGGCGGGAUGACGGUACCUGAGGAAUAAGCACCGGCUAACUUCGUGCCAGCAGCCGCGGUAAUACGAAGGGUGCAAGCGUUAAUCGGAAAUACUGGGCGUAAAGCGUGCGUAGGUGGUUUGUUAAGUCUGCUGUGAAAGCCCUGGGCUCAACCUGGGAAUUGCAGUGGAUACUGGCGAGCUAGAGUGCGGUAGAGGGUUGUGGAAUUCCCGGUGUAGCAGUGAAAUGCGUAGAUAUCGGGAGGAACACCAGUGGUGAAGGCGGCAACCUGGACCAGCACUGACACUGAGGCACGAAAAGCGUGGGGGAGCAAAACAGGAUUAGAUACCCUGGUAG